rnacentral:misc_RNA from 1 species
CGGUCAGCAGCUUCACCUUUCUUCGACUGCGCGCGUCUCCAGUGCGUUCGAGUCUGUGUUCUCGCUACAGUUCCUGUCGCCCCUGCGCACCGUUUAAAAACAUUUCUCAGUUGCCUAUCGACGGCGUAUAGACUUUCCCUGUGCACAUUAGCACAGACGCACAAAUAGACGAACACACGUGCAUUUCGAGGGGCACACGUUUUCCUUUCACUGCCUCUCUUCACAACCUCUCGCACGCACGUGCCGAGGAUCCCUUUCACGCGUUGGCGCUCGCCUCAGCUACCUCACCUCUCUCUCCUCGACUGUGCCGCCCGCCAAUAUAGAAAACGCUUGCGACGAGUUUGGCGACGGUCAGCAAUGCUGUGCGGCUCGCGAGCGACCUUCGCCCGGACGGCGGUAGCGUUCUUCAACAUGAAGCACUUUCAGACCAAAAAGAAGUACAACCUUACUCCCCAGAACAUUUAUGAGACGUUCUCCACCGUGCUGUUGCCCCGUGACCGACUGCUGCGUCAGUCUGUCUCCGGCGGCGGCGGGUCUCGAGUACUGGUGCUGGAUGCCCAGCAAAGGGUGAAGGGGGUUUACCUCCCCGUCUUUUGCAUGCCGCACCCUUCCACCAUCACGAACGGCAGCAACUCUCUGGGUGUGGCCGUCGCCGACUACACGCGUUCCAUUGAGGCAGCGUCGACAAUACACAAAGCAGGCGGCGGCGGCACUGCGUCAACGUUGCCGACGGUGCUAGUGGUACUGUCGCAUCCGCAAGGACUGGCCUACGGUACCUUUCGAGCCGAUGGUACACCAGGUGUUCCAAUGAAGAACCUUGCACUCUCGCCAAUUCUUGCAAAUGCGAGGACACAGCAGGCGUCGACGAACAUCGCCUCUACACCCCUCCGGACCUCUGGCCUGGGCACGGUGAUGCCGUUGCUGAACGUUUCCCUCGGUCGUGCUGAAGUCAUCCGUGACAUCUAUAAGGAGCUGAAUGAGUGCGAACACGUUGCAGAGCUAGCGGCCUGCUCUACCUUCGUGUGGGUUCAAAGGGACAACAUGUCGUCGAUGACCUUCGAAACGGCACAAUCCUCCGAGCGAUACUGGGAGCGUGAAAAAAACGACGGUGACGGCGCCGCCGCGCCGCCGCCCGGUGCUAUAUCGUUUCUGGACCGCCGCUGGGUCUUGCUGAUGGACGUUGCCCUUCACCCUGAUACUGGCUUAGGCCUUUACGCCCGCGAUCCCGCCACAGGCGAUCGCAUCGUGAACGCCACCGGGGUGCAGUCUGCCCUUUGCAGAGGGUUGCUCUUGCUCGAUCACGUUCCCCGCACGGCGGCGGACCCGACAAGAGCAGCCGAUAGCGACACGGGUUCAAGUGGGUGAUGCUGGCUGCUCGAGACCACCUCUCCCCUACCGCCGCCGCGAAGCACUCUUCGUCGAACAUGCCCAUACAUCGUCGAAAUUGGCUUCCUCGCGCAACGCACGAGAACGCGCGCAGCCCGUGCAUUCGCUGCUGCGUGAUGUGAGCCGGCGGUUCUCUGUUUUCGCGCGAUGACGCUGCACGCAACCAAGAAGAGAUCGUCAGUGAUUCGAGGUGAAUGUCCUUUGUUGGCAUCGUUGGGCGGACCUCUUCACAGGAACGACCGGGAUCUUUGGCGGCUCACAGAAGCGGAGAAACAACAGAAAAUGUGCGGGAAGUGUUCACCCCAUCAAAAGGGGCACCAAAGGAGCACAUCCGAAUACGAGCAACAGAGGCACGAGGACGGUGUGCUUGCGUGUGUGGGGAGGCGCGGUUUACUGUGGAAACAUGAGGCUACCGCGGGUUUGUCGCGCCGAAAGAAAAUGCUGCGCACCAUAUCUGAGAGCGACAGGGGACGGGGGGGGGGCUCGCGUGCGUGGAGAUGGUCCAUGCUGUCAAAAAGCAGAAAGCUAGGUGCCGUUGGGCCUGUGGAACCUGCCCAUGCGAGGGUCGAGUAAGCCGCUCACCUCGACUGCUCGCCUCUCCCUCUCCCCCGCCCCCAAAUCGGUGAAAACCUUCUGUCCACAUAAAAAAUGCACAAGGCUUGUUUUCUUUUUGGUGCUC